ensembl:lncRNA
CUCAGGAACACCUAUUUCUGUUCUCCUCCUCGUGCUGUAGGUUUGUCAUUCCGGGAAAGAGGAAAGGGAUGCUGUAAGAAAGGCGUUACGUUGCCACUGGAAACCCAGCGGGAAGCUGCCCGAGGUCCCCUCCGCUCCCCCCGCCGCCGGCAGCACGCCCCUUACCUUCCCGCUGCGGGCCGGGGGCAGCUCCUCGCCUAGCGUGCCCCGUAGGGGGGAGGAGGCUGCGUGCCCCGACCUUGCCAGGCUGGGCAGCCCCGGCCCCGCCGCCGGCGUGCGGGGAGAGCCGCUGGGGAAGCCCCGGCGCCGUCAGCUCCCACCUGUUACUAGGGAAACCCCGGGGUCUCCUCUGCAUCGGCUGCUGGGAGGAGCGGAGGGGAAAAUGGAGGGUAUGGCUGCAGCCGGGGUGGGGGGGUGAGCGAGUCGGCUUUUCUGUGCAGGGCUUGUUUUGUUUAAUAUAGAUUUGUCCCUCUUUUGGACACAAUAUACCCGGCUCGUCUAUUAAUCUGUUUCAAAAAGAGAAAUUGCCGUUUAGGUCGGAGCUGCCAGCUCCCGCAGCUCGCGUUGUAUAGGCAGCUCGCGAGAGAGCCGGGUAUCACAUCUAGCUCUCCUCGCCACGGAUCGAUGGGGCAGGUGGAAAAAAUUAUUGCAAGCAGAUUUUAUCUGAACAAAUGGAUAGCACGGCCCUGCUUUCUGUGGGGAAUUUCUUUGUUUGGUAAUAAAGGCUUGCAGACUGCUGAGGGCUGUGAUUAAUGUGUAGAGAUGCGUUCGGUUGCAGUUCCCCCACCCAGAGCACAAGAGCACACCGACGUCCAAGAAAUACAGCGGGUGAAAUUGCGAUGCCACUCAAAAAUCGCCACCGUUCCCUCCAGCUCUGAAACACUUUUCCUUGGAGAAAGGCAGGCUCUGCCAAAGGGAAAGUUUCCACAGAAACAUGGCAGUUUUCAGCAGACAUGUCACCAGAAAGGCACCUUUGAUCUGGAUCCUUCUUCAGUUGAAAAGACAAACCAGCAUAGCCCCUACAUAAGCCACCAGACAGCACUGUGGGCAAAGGGGACAGCACUGGUACCUCCUCUGAGAACAGGAGCACCCAGCAGAGUCUGGAGAGCAUCCAAAGGAGGGCUACAAAGAUGGUGAAGGGUGUAGAGGGCAGGAUGUAUGAGGAGUAGCUGGAGCCCCUGUUUGCUCAGCACAGAGCAGAGGAGCUGAUGGAGGCCUGAUGGCGGCUGCAGCUCCUCACAGGGAGCGGAGGGGCAGCGCUGAGCUCUGCUCUGUGUGACAGCGACAGGGCCCGAGGGAACGGCAUGGAGCUGUGCCAGGGGAGGGGCAGCUGGGGGUCAGGGAAAGGGGCUGCACCACAGGGCGGUGGGCAUGGAACGGGAUGCACAGGGCUGUGGGCACGGCCCCCAGUGCUGGAGUUCAAGGAGCGUCUGGACAGCGCUCGCAGACAUAGCGUUGGGUUUGGGUGGUGCUGUGUGGAGCCAGGGGUUGGACUCCAUGACCCUCAUGGGUCCCUUCCAGCUCAAGAUAUUCUAUAAUUCAAUGAUAGAAUUUUCUGGCCCACAGACCUUUCGAUCCAAGAAAUAAUCAGCAGACAAUGGUUACUUGUCCCAACAAAAUCACUUCAGGUUUCAGUAUAUGUUCAGCUCUUGUAUACCACUGGGCUUGUUACUCUUCUAAAACUCCUACCCACACAAAACCUGCUGGUGGAAGGACAACCAUCAUUAGCCUGGAGGGGAAGAAGUGCAGUAAAAUCAGCAGAGAUAAGGUCUGUUUGUUUCCAGAUACAUCUUCCUGGGACAGUUGCUAUGGUUUUGAAGAUUCUGAGGUUGUUUUGCCACAUCAGCAUUAAAAACUAUAAUAAAGCAUCAAAGACUGAGAUCA